rnacentral:rRNA from 1 species
CCUACGGGAGGCAGCAGUGAGGAAUAUUGGUCAAUGGACGGAAGUCUGAACCAGCCAUGCCGCGUGCAGGAAGACGGCUCUAUGAGUUGUAAACUGCUUUUGUACAAGGGUAAACCUGAAUACGUGUAUUCAGCUGAAAGUAACGUACGAAUAAGGAUCGGAUAACUCCGUGCCAGAAGCCGCGGUAAUACGGGGGAUCCAAGCGUUAUCCGUAUUUAUUGGGUUUAAUGGGGGCGUAGGAGGAUUGAUAAGUUAGAGGUGAAAUGUCCGGGCUUAACUCGGGAACUGCCUCUAAUACGGUUGAUCUAGAGAAUAGAUGCGGUAGGCGGAAUGUAUGGUGUAGCGGUGAAAUGCUUAGAGAUCAUACAGAACACCGAUUGCGAAGGCAGCUUACCAAUCUAUAUCUGACGUUGAGGCACGAAAGCGUGGGUAGCAAACAGGAUUAGAUACCCGUGUAGUC